AGGUCUAUAAGUAGCAGUUUCUCGUCGGAACUAUCCAUGACAAGUGGUGCAUGGGUGAGGUCAGGUAGUGUAGUAACAUGAUUCGAAAACUUAGAAAUCAUGGUCUACCGUGAUCAUUAGCAGCGAGUAUAAUCUUGGUCGCUCCACAGACUUUGGUUCGUCAGAGUCAGGAUUAGUCCAGAAAGCCGCCUUAUCCUCAGGUGCUCCACGUAAUAUGUAAGAAUUUUGCCGCUACGGUAGGUACUCCAGUUUCCUAAGCAACAAUCAAGUCCGUAUGUUUCAAAAGGAUCCCAGGGUUGAUCGCAGGCUGCUAAUUUCUUGCAUAAAGAUCGACUUGCUAGCUAUUGAGGAUCAAGAUGUCCGGAUGAAGGUGGCCCCAGACGUAGUACACACGGUCCGU
rnacentral:rRNA from 1 species